rnacentral:rRNA from 1 species
UACGUAGGUGGCGAGCGUUACUCGGAAUUACUAGGCGUAAAGCGUAUGUAGGCGGUCAUAUAAGUCUUUAGUGAAAUUUAUCGGCUUAACCGGGAAAGGUCUAAGGAUACUGUUUGACUUGAGUGUGGGAGGGGGAGACGGAAUUCCUGGUGUAGCGGUGGAAUGCGUAGAUAUCAGGAGGAACACCGAUGGCGAAAGCAGUCUUCUGGCCCAAUACUGACGCUAAUGUACGAAAGCUAGGGUAGCAAACAGGAUUAGAUACCCUGGUAGUCCUAGCUGUAAACGAUGUUCACUAGAUGUGGGAGGUAUCGACCCCUUCCGCGUCGAC